rnacentral:rRNA from 1 species
UGAGGAAUAUUGGACAAUGGGCGCAAGCCUGAUCCAGCCAUGCCGCGUGCAGGAAGAAGCAUCCAUGGUGUGUAAACUGCUUUUGUUCGGGAAGAAACACUCCUUCGUGAAGGAGCUUGACGGUACCGUAAUAAUAAUGAUCGUCUAACUCCGUGCCAGCAGCCGCGGUAAUACGGAGGAUCCAAUCGUUAUCCGGAAUCUUUUGGUUUAAAGGGUCCGUUUGCGGUUUAGUAAGUCAGUGGUGAAAGUCCAUCUCUCAACGAUAGAACGGCCAUUGAUACUGAUAGACAUGAAUUAUUAGGAAAUAACUAGAAUAUGUAGUGUAGCGGUGAAAUGCAUAGAUAAUACAUAGAAUACCAAUUGCGAAGGCAGGUUACUAAUUGUGGAUUGAAGCUGAUGGACGAAAGCGUGGGGGGCGAACA